UGUUUUUUGUGUUUCUUUUUGUGUUUGAGCCAAGCAAAACCUUUAUGAGUAGUCUUGGUGAUGGUUCUUUGAUCCUGCUGGAAAAAUACAGAAACUUUUUAGCUCACGAUAUUAUUUUUCACUUUUAUUCAGAAAGUGCUUUUGAGUUGAUUCUUUUUGCUGCUGGUUGAUAUGCCUUUUUCCCGGUCAGUCGUAAUGUUUAAGAAUUUUUGAGGUACC
rnacentral:lncRNA from 1 species